GACAAAAUGGCUUUGUUACGAAAGUAUGCCUAAAUAUGUCUAAAGUAUUUGAGAAAACGCACCGAACAGACCUAUGUUCCGGGUUUUGAUUCGUACAAUGUGUGGUUACCAUCAUUCGUCUGAAUAGGUAAGGUACGUUAACAAUGCAUUUAGCUGAAACCACCACUGAAGUCUCAGCCAACAGCAUGGCAGCAUUAGGACUCCUAUGGCUUGUGAGCUCCAUAGCAUCCAUCCUUGUCAAAUGUGAAGAUGCAACAUCUGAACACAACAAGAUCUACCCAGCAAAGAUAUUUGGACCAUCUAGAAUCACUGAAGGGGUAGACAUCCAUUUUAAAUGUAGCACUACUGGUAUCAGAGGACCUGAGGACAAGUUAAAUUUUUACCUUUGCAAGAAUGGAGUUGGGAUAAGAAUUGCGCUGCAGGAGAAAGGUGAAGAUGAUGCUAUUUUCGACAUGAAGAAUGUCACACGAGAAGACUCAGGCAACUACAGCUGUGUGUACACCAGAGAUAAACUUGUACCCAGUCACUUGAGGUCAACAGGGGAUAAUUUAGUAGUCUUUCAGGUUGAUGGAGAACAGAAAGAGGGACUAAAGAAUAUGGGAGGACAAGGGAGAGCGGGACUGGCAGCAACCUUGGUCCUCCUGUUUCUGACGCUGUCUGUACUGCUGUUAGUGUGGAGGUACUGGGGAAUCCUGAAACAAAUGAUAAGUAUUGACCAUCAACCAAGUGAGAAUCAGGAUACGGAUCAAACAUACAGUCUAAUCUCAGUUGUACCAGUCACAACUGGUGUAAUUGAGGUCCCCUUUGAUGGUGAUGAAGGACACUAUUCUAUGAUAGGGCUGGAAUCGUCAGGGAGACUACGAAAGAAUCCUGAGCCCUUGGGUUCACAAGGUGUGUCAGGCAUGGGAUCGCUGGUUCAUCACUCUCCAACUGAUCCUACAGGAGAUGAGACUCUGUACAGCGUAAUAACUAGAGUGAAAAGACCAGAACAGCAGGGUGAAACUGCCAUCUAUGCCAAAGUGAAAACAAGGAAGGAGAAAGAAAAACAGGACCCUGUUUACAGUCUGUGUCAUUACAAAUACAGUAGUGCUAUACAGUAGUGCUAUACAGUAGUAUAUGACAUGCGAAAUGACAUGACAGAACAUGUGGUUUAUCUGCCUUUUUGGUCAUAGAAGUAUGGGGAUAGUAAUACUGUACACCUAGGUGUAUGCUAAGAUGUGUUUUUUUAAAUACUGCUUUGGUUUUGAACAUAUUACUCUUUGAUGCAGUCUGCAGUCUGGGUGCUAUCUUUGAGCCUAGCAAAGAUGUAGAUGACAUUAUUCCACUUUUUAUUCAAUAAAAACAAACCAAGCUUGAAAUGAAAGCAAUAUAAAUUCGAACAAAGUGUUAGCCAAUGUUUUCCACGUGUUUGUUAUGCCAACAUGGAAGUAUGAAUUAAGACACACAAAUGAAUGAUAAGACAAGACCGAGACAUGCAUAGAGAAAGAGAUGUGGACAAAGGAGAAUAUGUGGCAGGCUAAUGUGGUUACAGUGUUUCUAUAGAAAGCUCAGUCUAAUGGGAGAGGGAGACAGAGCUUAGUAAUAGACAAGCCACUAGCAUCAUGCCUCCCAGCAGAGGGGAAGAGGGGAGGAGAAGUGGAGAGGAGGGAAAGAGUGGGAGGCUGUCUGCAACAUAUUACCAUUUCUCCACACACACCAUGACCCAGG
ensembl:lncRNA